ACUCCUACGGGGAGGCAGCAGCUGGGGAAUAUUGGACAAUGGGCGAAAGCCUGAUCCAGCCAUGCCGCGUGUGUGAAGAAGGUCUUCGGAUUGUAAAGCACUUUAAGUUGGGAGGAAGGGCAGUUACCUAAUACGUGAUUGUUUUGACGUUACCGACAGAAUAAGCACCGGCUAACUCUGUGCCAGCAGCCGCGGUAAAU
rnacentral:rRNA from 1 species